AUGCUGACAUAAGUAACGAUAAAGCGGGUGAAAAGCCCGCUCGCCGGAAGACCAAGGGUUCCUGUCCAACGUUAAUCGGGGCAGGGUGAGUCGACCCCUAAGGCGAGGCCGAAAGGCGUAGUCGAUGGGAAACAGGUUAAUAUUCCUGUACUUGGUGUUACUGCGAAGGGGGGACGGAGAAGGCUAUGUUGGCCGGGCGACGGUUGUCCCGGUUUAAGCGUGUAGGCUGGUUUUCCAGGCAAAUCCGGAAAAUCAAGGCUGAGGCGUGAUGACGAGGCACUACGGUGCUGAAGCAACAAAUGCCCUGCUUCCAGGAAAAGCCUCUAAGCAUCAGGUAACAUCAAAUCGUACCCCAAACCGACACAGGUGGUCAGGUAGAGAAUACCAAGGCGCUUGAGAGAACUCGGGUGAAGGAACUAGGCAAAAUGGUGCCGUAACUUCGGGAGAAGG
rnacentral:rRNA from 1 species